rnacentral:rRNA from 2 species
AAACUUUACUGACUUCUUCGGAAAGAUUAAAGCGGAUUAGUGGCGGACGGGUGAGUAACACGUGAGUAACCUGCCUUACACAAGGGGAUAGCCGUUGGAAACGACGAAUAAUACCCUAUGAAACUAUCACUUCGCAUGAAGCGAUAGUCAAAGUGUUAGCGGUGUAAGAUGGACUUGCGUCUGAUUAGCUAGUUGGUGAGAAAAAAGCCCACCAAGGCAACGAUCAGUAGCCGGCUUGAGAGAGUGUACGGCCACAUUGGGACUGAGACACGGCCCAGACUCCUACGGGAGGCAGCAGUGGGGAAUUUUGCACAAUGGGGGAAACCCUGAUGCAGCGACGCCGCGUGAUUUAGAAGGCCCUCGGGUUGUAAAAAUCUUUUGUAUAGGAAGAAAAUGACAGUACUAUACGAAUAAGGUCCGGCUAAUUACGUGCCAGCAGCCGCGGUAAUACGUAAGGACCGAGCGUUGUCCGGAAUCAUUGGGCGUAAAGGGUACGUAGGCGGGUCACUAAGUUAGAAGUCAAAGGCUAUAGCUCAACUAUAGUAAGCUUCUAAAAAUGGAGACCUUGAGUAAUGGAAGGGAAAGUGGAAUUCCUAGUGUAGCGGUGGAAUGCGCAGAUAUUAGGAGGAAUACCGGUGGCGAAGGCGACUUUCUGGCCAUU